AUUGAAAAAGGCAAACCUAUCGAAAGAUAGGGACGCAAAGCCAUAGGACCUUUCUUUCAAAAGAAUGGUAGCCUGGCCGCCAAUU
rnacentral:ncRNA from 1 species